rnacentral:rRNA from 1 species
CCUACGGGUGGCAGCAGUAGGGAAUUUUGCGCAAUGGGCGAAAGCCUUACGCAGCAACGCCGCGUGAUUGAUUAAGCCCUUCGUGGUGUAAAGAUCUGUCAGUGGGGACGACACUUGACGGUACCAACAGAGGAAGCACCGGCUAACUCCGUGCCAGCAGCCGCGGUAAUACGGAGGGUGCAAGCGUUGUCCGGAAUCAUUGGGCGUAAAGAGUUCGUAGGUGGCAUAGUAAGUCUGGUGUUAAAUGCAGAAGCGCAACUUCUGUUCGGCACUGGAUACUGGUAAGCGUGAAUGCGGGAGAGGUAAAGGGAAUGCCUGGUGUAGCGGUGAAAUGCGUAGAUAUCAGGAGGAACAUCGGGGGCGUAAGCGCUUUACUGGGCCGUAAUUGACACUGAGGAACGAAAGACGGGGUAGCAAAUGGGAUGAGAUACCCGAGUAGGC